CUCUUCAGGCUACCAAUUGUGUGCAUCCUGUAUCAAAACUAUUUGCAGCAAUAACUAAUUUUAAACCAAGAAAAAAAGGGGACAGUGCAAGAAGAGCACUCAUUUCAUAGACUACCUGCCAACACUUUAAGACACAUAGGAAGGCACAUCUAGAACAAACUUCCACAUGCCAUUCACUUCCAUCAAAGCCUUCCCUUCCCUUUCUGCAACCACCCUUGCUAAGAGAGUAUGUAAAUUAUUCCCUCCACAGCUUCCAGUAUUUAGCAGAAGGAAACUGGAAGUGAUAUCAGAGGCCUGGCACAUGCAAACACUGACAGGUUAUGAUCAAAAUCUCCUUGAAGAUAUCUCCUUGAAGGACUAAAAAGCUUCCAGAAUUUGCCUUUGGUGCCAGUUAAGAGUCAAUGGUCUUAAAGAAGUCAGCCAUAGCAAUACUAUGACUCUGACCAACCAGGCUUGAAUUCUCAUCAGAGACAUCAGCAACUUCGAAUGCAACUGGAAAAGCCCUGAGAAAGUAUCAUUCUGAGUCUUACACCUCCACGCUACUUUACAUGCAGUAAAGUAUUUGCCUAUAAAUCAACUCUAAUCUCUGUAUGAACAGCACAUAAAACAUCUAUUGAUCCUGUGAUGUGUUAUUAGCGACUAAGUGCAAGAGACAGGCUGAAGGGGGGUAAGUGAUUUGCCAAAGAUCCCAUACAUCUGAAGCACCGAACCCUAACCUGACUCCCAGUUUUGCUGUCAAGGCAAACUGCCAGGCUAAUCCUUCUUAUAUUUCCCUCAAAGUGAUUAAACCAGCAGAAACCUAGAUAUUGUCAAAUCUUAGCCCUUGGAGACAGUUAGUUAUGCAUUUAUCUAGUAACUGCAACUCCUUCCCACCUGCUAUUUUGAUAAACAAUCGUAUAAUACUAACUUUCUCUACAAUUACUAUAAUUUAUUUGCUGAGGUGAUUUGCAAACUGAGGUAUCACUGAAAAUGAGGAGAAAAAAUCUUGCUGUUUUACAAGUGCCUGUAGUGAUAGGGCAGGAGGUGAUGGCUUUAAACUGAGAGGGGAGAUUGAGAUGAGUUCUUAG